GCAAGUCGAACGAGAACGGGUCUAAGCUUGCUUUAAUUGUCAGCUAAGUGGCGCACGGGUGAGUAAUAUAUAGGUAACGUGCCUUCAAGAAGGGGAUAACAAUUGGAAACGAUUGCUAAUACCCUAUAUGCCUUUAAGACUUAAGUCUGCAAGGGAAACAUUUAUGGCUCUAGGAUGGGACUGUACGGUAUCAGUUAGUUGGUGAGGUAAUGGCUCACCAAGACAAUGACACCUAACUGGUUUGAGAGGAUGAUC
rnacentral:rRNA from 1 species